GACGAACGCUGGCGGCGUGCUUAACACAUGCAAGUCGAACGGAAGGGCCCUGCUUUUGUGGGGUGCUCGAGUGGCGAACGGGUGAGUAACACGUGAGUAACCUGCCCUUGACUUUGGGAUAACUUCAGGAAACUGGGGCUAAUACCGGAUAGGAGCUCCUGCUGCAUGGUGGGGGUUGGAAAGUUUCGGCGGUUGGGGAUGGACUCGCGGCUUAUCAGCUUGUUGGUGGGGUAGUGGCUUACCAAGGCUUUGACGGGUAGCCGGCCUGAGAGGGUGACCGGCCACAUUGGGACUGAGAUACGGCCCAGACUCCUACGGGAGGCAGCAGUGGGGAAUAUUGCACAAUGGGCGGAAGCCUGAUGAAGCAACGCCGCGUGCGGGAUGACGGCCUUCGGGUUGUAAACCGCUUUCGCCUGUGACGAAGCGUGAGUGACGGUAAUGGGUAAAGAAGCACCGGCUAACUACGUG
rnacentral:rRNA from 1 species